UACGGAGGGUGCAAGCGUUAUCCGGAUUUACUGGGUUUAAAGGGUGUGUAGGCGGGUCUUUAAGUCAGUGGUGAAAUCUCCGAGCUCAACUUGGAAACUGCCUUUGAUACUAUCUAUCUUGAAUAUUGUGGAGGUAAGCGGAAUAUGUCAUGUAGCGGUGAAAUGCUUAGAUAUGACAUAGAACACCUAUUGCGAAGGCAGCUUACUACGCAUAUAUUGACGCUGAGGCACGAAAGCGUGGGGAUCAAACAGGA
rnacentral:rRNA from 1 species